UGUGAAUUGCAGAAUUCAGUGAAUCAUCGAAUCUUUGAACGCAUCUUGCGCUCCUUGGUAUUCUGAGGAGCAUGCCUGUUUGAGUGUCAUUUUA
rnacentral:rRNA from 1 species